rnacentral:ncRNA from 1 species
CGUACGAAAGGGCAAAAUCAUUGAAAAGUGACGACGCAAAACUAUAGGGGCUAAAAUCAACAGAUGAUGCCAGCCAGUUACCGAA